rnacentral:rRNA from 1 species
GACGAACGCUGACGGCGUGCUUAAUACAUGCAAGUCGAAGGGAGUGGCGAACGGGAGAGUAACACGUGAGUAACCUGCACUUUUCUUUGGGAUAGGCCUGAGACACUGGGUCUAAUACUGGAUGGAUUGGGAUGGGCUCGCGGGUUAUCAGCUUGUUGGUGGGUUGAUGGCUUACCACUGCUUGGACGGGUAGCCGGCCUGAGAGGGUGGUCGGUAACACUGGGACUGAGAUAAGGCCCAGAGUACGACGGGGUGGAGCAGUGGGCGAUAUUGGACAAUGGAUGAAAGGCGGAUGCAGCGACGUUGAGUGGGGGAUUAAGGCCGUCGAGUUGUAAACUCCGUUCACCCGCGGAAUGGUAGUUGGUAAAGAAGCGCCGGCUAACUACGUGCCAGCAGCCGCGGUAAUUC